rnacentral:lncRNA from 1 species
GUCUGUGUGAGGCAGAGCUACGUGGGUGAGCAGAGAAAACCUGGAGCUGGAGCUGCUUGAGCCUUGCUUGCCCUUGGACCCUGCAGCUGAACCUGUCCUGCAAAGAAUGCCAGGGAGCCACAUGAAGGAAGAAGAGCUUUUCUCACCCAGAAUCGAUACUGUUGUGACUCCCAGGGAGGUGGUCCAAAGGAUUCUUUGGGUUUCAUUUUUCAGGUUUAAAUUUAGUCCAUCUAGAAUUUAUGGUGGUAUCUUGUGUGUGGUGGACAUUGGAGUUAUUUUUUUCUGAAUUGGUCUAAUAUCGUUUAUUGGAAAUUGUGCCUGGCCUGUCACCACUCUCUUCUAAUCUGCCUGAGAUCUGUUAUUUAGAACAUAUGACAGACAUACAAAAGAUGAGUUCACAAUAAGUGGACUAAAGAAC